AGCGCCGUGGCUUAGUUGAUUAAAGCGCCUGUCUAGUAGACAGGAGACCGUGGGUUCAAGUCUCGCCGAAGCCU
rnacentral:tRNA from 1 species